UGCAGAAGCUGAAGGAGAGGCAGAAGGAGCGGGAAGCCGUGGCUCUGCUGGACAAGGCCUGUCAGCCCAAGCCUCUGCACCACAGCGAGGCCCCCGCCGGGGCCCAGAAACAGGAUGUGGUCCUCCCGCUGCAGCAAGGGCAGACCCCCGUUGGGCAGCAGGCCAUGCCCAGUGGAGCCGAAGAGAUCCUGGCCAUACAGAGGAAGCAGCAACUUCAGUGCUGAACCUGAGCUGAAGCCCAAAACAGCACCAAGGAGAAAAUCCCCUAGGAAGAAGCGCUCCAUAAGAGAGAAG